rfam:Schistosoma mattheei strain Denwood, Zambia genome assembly, scaffold: SMTD_scaffold0010206
AUCCAGAUGAUGAGUCACAAAUAGGACGAGACAUGCGUCAAACUGGAU